CCCUUAGAUGUUCUGGGCUGCACGCGCGCUACACUGACGCACGCAACAGGUGCCUGCUCCGAGAGGACUGGGUAAUCAUUUGAGUGUGCGUCGUGAUGGGGAUAGAAUAUUGUAAUUAUUACUCUUCAACGAGGAAUUCCUAGUAGGCGCCAGUCAGCAGCUUGCGCUGAUUACGUCCCUGCCCUUUGUACACACCGCCCGUCGCUCCUACCGAUGGGUGAUCCGGUGAAUGAUUCGGACUUCAGCGGCUCCCCUGGGGUGCGCCGGAGAAAGUUUUGUGAACCUUAUCACUUGGAGGAAGGAGAAGUCGUAACA
rnacentral:rRNA from 1 species